rfam:Babesia microti strain RI apicoplast complete genome
AUCAAAAUAGCUCAUUGGUAGAGUAAUGAUUUGAAGAAUCAUAGGUUGUCAGUUCAAUUCUGACUUUUGAUA